rnacentral:rRNA from 1 species
GCGUGAGUGAUGAAGGCCUUCGGGUUGUAAAACUCUUUUACCAGGGAAGAUAAUGACUGUACCUGGAGAAUAAGCCCCGGCUAACUUCGUGCCAGCAGCCGCGGUAAUACGAAGGGGGCUAGCGUUGUUCGGAAUUACUGGGCGUAAAGCGCGCGCAGGCGGUUCUUCAAGUCAGGGGUGAAAGCCCAGAGCUCAACUCUGGAAUUGCCUUUGAAACUGUAGAACUUGAGUACGAGAGAGGUGAGUGGAAUUCCCAGUGUAGAGGUGAAAUUCGU